UACGUAGGCAGCGAGCGUUGUUCGGAGUUACUGGGCGUAAAGGGUGUGUAGGCGGUUGUUUAAGUUUGGUGUGAAAUCUCCCGGCUCAACUGGGAGGGUGCGCCGAAUACUGAAUGACUUCGAGUGCGGGAGAGGAAAGUGGAAUUCCUGGUGUAGCGGUGAAAUGCGUAGAUAUCCGGAGGAACACCGGUGGCGAAGGCGGCUUCCUGGACCGAUUACUGACGCUGAGGCGCGAAAGCUAGGGGAGCAAACGGG
rnacentral:rRNA from 1 species